rnacentral:sRNA from 1 species
AUUAAUAUCCUCAAAUAGUACAUAGGGGGUCAGUGAGUUUCUUUUAACGUUUCCUUUAUCACCUCAGCGGGUUUGUUCAGUAAAUAAGAGUAGGAGUGGGUGUGAAAGCCCUAACUCUGGACACUGCCAUGUAUCCUCUGUUUCCUUGUAGUGGGGCCCAGCAACUCCGGGGGCUCUCUGUGUGCCAUGAGUGGCCGCGUGUGUGUGGGGUCCCCGCCUGGCCCAGGCUUCGGCUCUUCCCCUCCAGGAGCAGAGGCAGCUCCCAGCCUGAGAUACGUGCCUUACGGUGCUUCACCCCCCAGCCUAGAGGGGCUCAUCACCUUUGAAGCCCCUGAACUGCCGGAGGAGACGCUGAUGGAGCGAGAACACACAGACACCUUACGCCAUCUGAAUGUGAUGCUGAUGUUCACUGAGUGUGUGCUGGACCUGACAGCCAUGAGGGGAGGAAACCCUGAGCUGUGCACAUCUGCUGUGUCCUUGUACCAGAUCCAGGAGAGUGUGGUGGUGGACCAGAUCAGUCAGCUGAGCAAAGACUGGGGGCGGGUGGAGCAGCUGGUG